UCCUGGGGGUUUGUGUCUGUGUGUCAGUCUUUCAUUGUGGUUUUGUUUGUGCAGUAGUGGGAACAUGUGUAGUGUUUGGAAUGGAGAGAACAGAGGGAAGUGAAACGAGUCCGUACAUGGAGUUUCCUGACGAUAAGUAUUUGGCUGGUGUAGUGUGUCUGGCAUCCUCAGCUGAGUACAGGGUAGUUGGCAAUGUGUUUGGGGUGCAUAAAACCACAGUUCAUCGCUGUAUUUACAAGUUUGUCAGCUCCCUUGUUCAGAGGCACUGGAACACGUACAUAACUACGCCUGAUGUAACUGAAGCAAAAAGCAUUGCUCUGCGUGUCAGUGAAAAGCAUGGGUUGCCCCAAGUAAUGGGUAUGAUUGAUGCUACCCACAUUCCCAUCAAAGUACCACGCCACUGUCUGAGAGAUUACCUCAACAGAAAGUACUGGGCAGCUUUCAUUCUCCAAGCAGUAGUGGAUGACAGUGGCAGGUUUAGAGAUAUCUCGUGUGGCAUGCCAGGAUCUGCGCAUGAUGCUGCGGCGUUCCGGUCUUCAGGAUUGUAUACGCGUCAACACGCACUUCCGCAGGCAAUACAGCAUAUAGGGGAUCAGGGUGUACCCUUAUAUCUAGUCGGUGAUGCUGCAUACCCCAACUUCCCUGGCUUAUGAAAUCCUAUCCGUCCAGACAUCUGACAGCUGCGGAGGAAGCAUUCAACACCACGCUUGGGCGAGUACGGAUAGUGGUUGAACAGGCUUUUGGGCACUUUAAAGGGAGGUGGCGGAUACUGCUGAAGUGCAACAUGAGUUAAUUCCUAAAAUUGCCACUGCCUGCUGUAUCCUGCACAACCUAUGUCAACAAAACAAGAUGUUCAGGAAUCAGUGGCUGCCGUCUGUGAGACAA